UUUUAGAUUAUAAUUUAAAGUAGGGCCUGCCCACUGAAAUUUUAAAGGGCCGCAGUAUUUUGACUGUGCAAAGGUAGCAUAAUCAUUAGUUUUUUAAUUGAAAGCUAGAAUGAAUGGUUUGAUGAAAAAAUUACUUUCUUUAAUUUAUUAAAAAAAUUUUAUUUUUAAGUUAAAAAGCUUAAAUGUUUAUAAAAGACGAGAAGACCCUAUAGAGUUUAAUUAUUUAAAAUUAGUUUAUUAAAGAAUUAAAUUAAAUUAAUUUAAAGAUAAUUUAAUUGGGGUGAUUAAAAAAUUAAAUAAACUUUUUUUAUUAAAUACAUUAAUUUAUGAAUAUUUGAUCCAAUAAUUUUGAUUAAAAGAAUAAAUUACCUUAGGGAUAACAGCGUUAUUUUCUUUUAGAGUUCAAAUCGAAAGGAGAGAUUGCGACCUCGAUGUUGGAUUAAAGUUAAUUAUAGGUGUAGAAGCUUAUAAAUUUGGUCUGUUCGACCAUUAAAACUUUACA
rnacentral:rRNA from 2 species